GAUGAAGAACGUAGCGAAAUGCGAUACGUAAUGUGAAUUGCAGAAUUCAGUGAAUCAUCGAAUCUUUGAACGCAUAUUGCGCUCUCUGGUAUUCCGGAGAGCAUGCUUGUUUGAGUAUCAGUAAACACCUCAACUUCCAUAUCUUUUUUGAAAUGGGAGUUGGACUUGAGUGAUCCCAACGCUUUUCCUCACCGAAAAGUGGCGGGUUACUUGAAAUGCAGGUGCAGCUGGACUUUUCUCUGAGCUAUAAGCAUAUCUAUUUAGUCUGCCUAAAAACAGAUUAUUACCUUUGCUGCAGCUAACAUAUAGGAGAUUAGUUCUUGUGCUGACUGAUGCAGGAUUCACAAAGACAGGCUUCGGCCGACUUUGUAAACUCGAUCUCAAAUCAAGUAAGACUACCCGCUGAACUUAAGCAUAUCAAUAAGCGGAGGA
rnacentral:misc_RNA from 1 species